CAAAGUGCUCAAGUCUAGAGGCCAACAACCCAGAUAUACUCAAUCCAUGCCAAGAUUUUUAUCCUGUUCUCUGUCACGGUCUCACAAAGACACUUUCUGUAGUGUGAUACAGGUGCAGCUAUGCAAAUAAAUCCAGCUUUGACUGGAAAGUGUGAGCCCUGCUCCCCUAAUGUCAGAUUGGAGUUCUACCCUCACAUCUUGCCUGGCCUGUAGCUUCUUUCUGGGGAAAAGGGUAGGCAGAAGGAAGACUUGUACAAACAGUUUCCAGAUUUACACACUGAUAGUCUCUUUGGGUGGAGCUGGGGCAGGUCCAAGGUGUGAAGGGCUCUGACUUGAUCAGCCUGCUUUCUUGGGUUCUGUCCAGCUAAGCAGACAUCCCCUUCCUCUUUUCCCAGAGCUCACUGGCCGUUUUGAGAACUAAGGAGCCUGGUGUGCACUGAAACACCUUUGGGAGGUGGCACUCAGCCAGGCAAAGGAACAGACUGAGUGGAAACCUGAAGGGUAAACCUUUUAAAUAUGAGAAGCUGUCAUCAAUCAAGAUUUAUCUGGGAGCCUGGGAGCACAGCAGGUAAAAGAGCUUGUUAUACAAGCUGAUCACCUGAGGUUCCUGGAAUCCACAUGAUGGAAGGAGACCUGACUGAAGUUGUCAUCUGAUAGCUGCAGGCUCAGUACUGUGAAGUGUGAACAACCACCCCCUCACUGAUGACGACGAUGAUACAGAAAAUAAAAGUUCAAGAUUUAUUGGGGUAGGUGGAGUGCUUAGAAGGCUAAGGCAGGAAGUUCAUGGGUUUCAGGCCAGCUGGGGUAUAUACUGAGACGAGAU